rnacentral:rRNA from 1 species
UACGAAGGGGGCUAGCGUUGCUCGGAAUCACUGGGCGUAAAGCGCACGUAGGCGGCUUUCUAAGUCAGGGGUGAAAUCCUGGAGCUCAACUCCAGAACUGCCCUUGAUACUGGGAAGCUCGAGUCCGGAAGAGGUGAGUGGAACUCCGAGUGUAGAGGUGAAAUUCGUAGAUAUUCGGAAGAACACCAGUGGCGAAGGCGGCUCACUGGUCCGGUACUGACGCUGAGGUGCGAAAGCGUGGGGAUCAAACAGG